rnacentral:lncRNA from 1 species
GGGGGCUCCUGGUACACAUACUGUGGUAUGAACGCUUCAUUGAUGGCUGGUUGUUUCUGAGCCUCUCUCGUCUCCUGUGCAUCAAGUAGCUUCUUCAACUGCUCUUGCAGAGCUCGAAUUUGGAUUUGCUCUGGAGUAGCCAUUGUUUCUGUCUCAACUUGAUCGUUCUGCUUCUUUAGAUUGCGCAAGGUCUUGUUGAUUUCAGGGUCUAACUCAAAGAGAG